rnacentral:rRNA from 1 species
AUUGAACGCUGGCGGCAGGCCUAACACAUGCAAGUCGAGCGAGCGGCGGACGGGUGAGUAAUGUAUGGGGACUGCCCGAUAGAGGGGGAUAACUACUGGAAACGGUGGCUAAUACCGCAUACUAUCGGAUAACCCAUAUGGGAUUAGCUAGUAGGUGGGGUAAAGGCUCACCUAGGCGACGAUCCCUAGCUGGUCUGAGAGGUUGAUCAGCCAAACUGGGACGGAGACACGGCCCAGACUCCUACGGAGGAAGCAGUGGGGAAUAUUGGACAAUGGGGGCAAGCCUGAUGAAGCCAUGCCGCGUGGUGGAAGAAGGCCUUAGGGUUGUAAAGUACUUUCUGAGGGGAGGCGUUACCCGAAGAAGAAGCACCGGCUAACUUCGUGCCAGCAGCCGCGGUAAUUC